rnacentral:rRNA from 1 species
CAGUCGCGUUCUCUGGGAUUCAGCCUUGCUUCUGCUUGGUGCACAACACUCGCAUACAUGUUAGACUCCUUGGUCCCGUGUUUCAAGACGGGUCGUUUAAAAGCCAUUCCGUCAGGGUCGUGCUCGCGGCUUGUCCAUUGUGUUAAGACCGGUUGGUUUGGUUUG